CUUAAGCGCAGCCCUCACCGCCGCUGUUUGUUAUUGUCGUCGCCUAUUUCCGCCGCGGUGCACCUUGGGUAAACUCACCAGCCGGAUGGACGAGUGGCGGAGGGGCAGAACAACCAUAGAGAGAAGAGAGCCGAAGAGCCAGCGCUGUCCGAAGACGUCUCCAUGGUCAUUUGGCUGACAUGACUCAACACCAAAGGCACACGGAACGCUGUUACCUUCCCACCAAGAUCUACAGAUCUUCUGAAAGUGUGACAAAGCUUCAUCCGAAAAUAUCCCAGAAAUAGGAUGAAGCAAGAUGCUCUUUCAAGAUCAUGGCACUGCCACUUUAUUGUUCAUCCUCCUACAUCCUAUCAAUCUGUCAGUCAGGAAUUAAAUCCAUAUGAAUAGUGGUCAUCAGGCUGACUGGUAUUCAAAAAUAUCCUAGCCGACAGAUUUCUGGGGCAUAAGUGGGGCAAGGGUUGAAGCAGGAGGAAACUGUCUUGAUAAGUCCUGCUGCUUUAUUGUUUGCUGCUUUAUUCUGUAUCUUCCUAUGCCCUAUUAUCAUUGUUGCUAGGAUAUUUUUGGAUAUGAGAACCCUGAACUUCCAGAAGACCAAUAGGCCCAAUGCUUAGAAAUAGUCUGAGUAGCUGGACACAAUCAUAAAAUACUUCUGCACACCUUUAAAGAUGCUUACAGCCUUCUUCCAGCAGCUAUCCAUAGUCCCCUAAGUGGCUCAGUAUACACUAAGGACACCCCUAUACUGAAAUUACUGAAGGCAAAAAUAGUCCCAAUGUGUGGAAUUGAGGGGCCUUGCACAAAGCUACCUCACUUGAACAAUUCAGACCCAUUUUUCAAGAAGCAUUCCAAGAACUGAGAAGAAAACAUCAGCCCUUAUGGUCAGAGCAGAAACAGAUAUCCACUCCAUACAUAGCUAAUCAAUAAUUAAAGUUUCCACAUACAGGCAGAGGAUCCACCUAAUGUAUGUAAUGGAACAGAUAAGUAUGGCUCAGCCCAAUUCCUUGCUAGGCUGACUUGCCAAAGUUGUUCACAGAAUGGGUUUUAAACCUGUAUUUACUCUCAACUGCCUCCCAGGCAAGGGACAUUUUUAAACAGAGUCCUAAAUAUAUCAGUGCACAAAUUGACAUGGAGUUCUUGGCAAAAAAUAGAUCUUCAAAUUUGCUGGCUAAGAACAAAACUAUUUUCCAAUUUGAAAAAUAUCUGCCAAUGAGUUUGAUGAAGUUCUUAAGCCGGUCAUAUUUUAAAGCUAGUUUUGAGUUGUUGGAUUCCAGGACCAAAUAUAGGUACUUCCAUUACCUGCCAUAUCAUGAGUGGACAUGUAGAGUCUGUGCAGUGCCCAGCUAUCAAAUAUAUUGCUCGUGUUUUGUUUAACUGUCUUAAAUAUUUAACAUAUAUAUACUUGAAAGAAUAGCCCACUGAGAUCUGAAUCACAGAUUAUCCUAUUUUCUCCUGGUAUCUAAUGUAUAUAUUGUGAGCAUAACUACUUCAUUAAGGUAGUUUUGCUAAGAAGCCAUCAUAUGAAAUAGAUUGGAGCAUCAUGUAAAGGUGAUGUAUCUAUCUGAAUGCUAAUUCUUUGUAUUUAUCGCAUAUGUAUUUUAUUAUUGUAUUUUUUAUCCAUUUUACCCUGGAAUUAGAUCUCAUACUUUAUUUUCUUUGAUAAGGCCGUAAGAUUAAUCAAUUAAUAAACUAUUACAUAUUAA